CCCUUAGAUGUUCUGGGCCGCACGCGCGUUACACUGAUGAAUUCAACGAGCCUAGCCUUGUCCGAAAGGUCCGGGUAAUCUCUGAAACUUCAUCGUGAUGGGGAUAGAUCAUUGCAAUUAUUGAUCUUCAACGAGGAAUUCCUAGUAAGCGCAAGUCAUCAGCUUGCGUUGAUUACGUCCCUGCCCUUUGUACACACCGCCCGUCGCUUGUACCGAUUGGAUGGUCCGGUGAAAUCUUCGGAUAGCUGGUAGUUGGCUUGCCAUCUACUGCUAAAAGUUGCUUAAACCUUAUCAUCUAGAGGAACAAGAAGUCGUAACA
rnacentral:rRNA from 1 species